rnacentral:rRNA from 1 species
UACAGGGGGUGCUAGCGUUGUUCGGAAUUACUGGGCGUAAAGGGCGCGUAGGCGGCUCAACAAGUCUGUUGUGAAAUCUCGGGGCUUAACUCCGAACGUGCAGUGGAAACUGUUGGGCUAGAGUGCAGUAGAGGUUGGUGGAAUUCCCAGUGUAGAGGUGAAAUUCGUAGAUAUUGGGAGGAACACCGGUGGCGAAGGCGGCCAACUGGGCUGUAACUGACGCUGAGGCGCGAAAGCGUGGGGAUCAAACAGG